rnacentral:rRNA from 1 species
GUUUGAUCCUGGCUCAGAACGAACGCUGGCGGCAGGCCUAACACAUGCAAGUCGAGCGCACCUUCGGGUGAGCGGCGGACGGGGUUAGUAACGCGUGGGAACGUACCCUUUUCUAAGGAAUAGCCACUGGAAACGGUGAGUAAUACCUUAUACGCCCUUCGGGGGAAAGAUUUAUCGGAGAAGGAUCGGCCCGCGUUAGAUUAGAUAGUUGGUGGGGUAACGGCCUACCAAGUCUACGAUCUAUAGCUGGUUUUAGAGGAUGAUCAGCAACACUGGGACUGAGACACGGCCCAGACUCCUACGGGAGGCAGCAGUGGGGAAUCUUGGACAAUGGGCGCAAGCCUGAUCCAGCCAUGCCGCGUGAGUGAUGAAGGCCUUAGGGUCGUAAAGCUCUUUCGCUGGGGAUGAUAAUGACAGUACCCAGUAAAGAAACCCCGGCUAACUCCGUG